rnacentral:rRNA from 1 species
AUUGAACGCUGGCGGCAGGCCUAACACAUGCAAGUCGAACGGUAACAGGAAGCAGCUUGCUGCUUUGCUGACGAGUGGCGGACGGGUGAGUAAUGUCUGGGAAACUGCCUGAUGGAGGGGGAUAACUACUGGAAACGGUAGCUAAUACCGCAUAACGUCGCAAGACCAAAGAGGGGGACCUUAGGGCCUCUUGCCAUCGGAUGUGCCCAGAUGGGAUUAGCUAGUAAGUGGGGUAACGGCUCACCUAGGCGACGAUCCCUAGCUGGUCUGAGAGGAUGACCAGCCACACUGGAACUGAGACACGGUUCAGACUCCUACGGGAGGCAGCAGUGGGGAAUAUUGCACAAUGGGCGCAAGCCUGAUGCAGCCAUGCCGCGUGUAUGAAGAAGGCCUUCGGGUUGUAAAGUACUUUCAGCGGGGAGGAAGGGAGUAAAGUUAAUACCUUUGCUCAUUGACGUUACCCGCAGAAGAAGCACCGGCUAACUCCGUG